GUCAGAGGUCACGGCACAGCCAAACCACAUCAGCUCACAGUGAGGGGUCAAAGGUCACAACAGAGCCAAACCACAUUGGCUCACAGUGAGGGGUCAAAGGUCACGGAGAGCCAAACCACACCAGCUCAAGUCAGAGCGAACAGUGAUGUUCUGACAAAGUACAUCACAUGAACUGCCUCAGCAAAUA